rnacentral:rRNA from 1 species
UACGGAAGGCAGCAGUGGGGAAUAUUGCACAAUGGGCGCAAGCCUGAUGCAGCCAUGCCGCGUGUAUGAAGAAGGCCUUCGGGUUGUAAAGUACUUUCAGUCGUGAGGAAGGUGUUAAGGUUAAUAACCUUAGCAUUGACGUUAGCGACAGAAGAAGCACCGGCUAACUCCGUGCCAGCAGCCGCGGUAAUACGGAGGGUGCGAGCGUUAAUCGGAAUUACUGGGCGUAAAGGGCACGCAGGCGGUUAAUUAAGUUGGAUGUGAAAUCCCCGGGCUUAACCUGGGAAUGGCAUUCAAGCUGGUUAGCUAGAGUCUUGUAGAGGGGGUAGAAUUCCAUGUGUAGCGGUGAAAUGCGUAGAGAUGUGGAGGAAUACCGGUGGCGAAGGCGGCCCCUGGACAAAGACUGACGCUCAUGUGCGAAAGCGUGGGGAGCAAAC